ACCAGCCUGAAUUUUCACUCUAGACGAAGCAGGGUUGGGACUGAUUAGUACCUGCAUGGGAGACCACCAGGAACUAUUGGGGGAUGCUGGCU
rnacentral:rRNA from 1 species